rnacentral:rRNA from 1 species
AUUGAACGCUGGCGGCAGGCCUAACACAUGCAAGUCGAGCGGAGGAAGGGAGCGUGCUCCUGGAUUCAGCGGCGGACGGGUGAGUAAUGCCUAGGAAUCUGCCUGGUAGUGGGGGAUAACGUCCGGAAACGGGCGCUAAUACCGCAUACGUCCUGAGGGAGAAAGUGGGGGAUCUUCGGACCUCACGCUAUCAGAUGAGCCUAGGUCGGAUUAGCUAGUUGGUGGGGUAAAGGCCUACCAAGGCGACGAUCCGUAACUGGUCUGAGAGGAUGACCAGUCACCCUGGACCUGAGACCCGGUCCAGCCCCCUACGGGAGGCAGCAGUGGGAAUUUUUGGACAAUGGGCGAAAGCCUGCUCCAGCCAUGCCGCGUGUGUAAAGAAGGUCUCCGGUUUGUAAAGCACUUUAAGUUGGGAGGAAGGGCAGUAAGUUAAUACCUUGCUGUUUUGACGUUACCAACAGAAUAGGCACCGGCUACCUUCGU